GCUCGUGUAGCUCAGUUGGUUAUAGCACCCGAUUAAUAAGCGGGAGGUCUCAAGUUCAACUCUCAACAGGAGCA
rnacentral:tRNA from 1 species